UACCCAGUGCCAGUUCUGCGAGAUUUCUUUUCAGUCGUGAAUAAAAAUAUUAUUCACUGCUGGAAAAAAAUCUCGCGGAAAAAAUACACGAUCUGAUUGGU